rnacentral:rRNA from 1 species
GAUGAACGCUGGCGGCGUGCCUAAUACAUGCAAGUCGAGCGAACGGACGAGAAGCUUGCUUCUCUGAUGUUAGCGGCGGACGGGUGAGUAACACGUGGAUAACCUACCUAUAAGACUGGGAUAACUUCGGGAAACCGGAGCUAAUACCGUAUAAUAUUUUGAACCGCAUGGUGCAAUAGUGAAAGACGGUCUUGCUGUCACUUAUAGAUGGUUCCGCGCUGUAUUAGCUAGUGGGGAGGGUAACGGCUUAGCAAGGCAACGAGGCAGAGCCGACGUGAGGGGGUGGUAGCCCACCUUGGAAGGGGGACGCGGUCCCUACUCCUACGGGACGCCGCAGUAGCGAACCUGCCGCAACGGUCGGAAGCAUGGCGGAGCAGCGCAGAGUGAGUUACGACGGUCCUCGGAUCGUAAAACCCUGUUACUGGGGAAGAACAUCUGUCUAAGUAAAUGUACACAUCUUGACGGUACCUACUCAGAAAGCCACGGCUAACUACGUG